CCGCGCCGGAUAGUGGCCGGCGUGGCACGCCGCACUCACCCGCUCGCGCACACCGGAACCGGAAGCGCGCGUGGGAGGACACUGGGCAUGGGGAAGGUGGUGGGAUGCAGAUAGGGAGGGGAGGGGGAGGUGCCCCGUGUGUGCCCCCUUCUGCCUCCCCGUGUGCGAGAAGCUGCGGGGACACCGUGGUCGUUCGUGUCUGGGAGGAGGAAGAGAAGGAGGAGGAAGAGGAGGAGAGAGUCCUGCGCUGUGCCGAGUGAUCGGCCACUCGCCUCGCCCGCGCUCGGCUCCCCUCUCUUCACGACGCCACGAACACACCCGCCGUCCCUCUGACGCUGUCCUCUCCGUGUCAAUGCUGCUGUUCCUGCUAUCACUUCAGCCAUCGAUGCUGUCUCUCCCCCUGAUUCUCCCACUUUCAGGGAUAUCACUCCUGCGCUCUGGCCCAGUCUCUCCGGCCCGUCGAUGAUAUCACCGAUGCUAUCACUACCACUGUUAAUGGUGUCUCCCGCUGCUCAUCCCGAUUAUCAGUCCCAUCACUGCUGUGCUCCCUCCCACUGUCUCUCCUUCUCUGUCACUACCGCUCUCUCCCACUGUCGAUAUCACUGCUGCGCUCUGCCAGUCUCUCCCGCUGUCGAUGAUAUCACCGCUGCUAUCACUUCUGCUGCCUCCCACUGCUUCUCCACUCUCCGUGCAGUCCCCACUACUAUCUCUCAACGCCGUCUCCUGCAGCCUGGCGCUGCAGUGUGCAGGAGCAGUGUCUCUGUCUCGACGCGUUCAUCUCAACGCUGCCCCGUGUGUCUGGUGUCUCGAGAUCGGCCAUUUUAUCACUCCCUCCCUCACCCGCUCGUGCCUGUCCUUCAGUCGACUCAAACGUUGGGGCCGAUUUGAUUGUAGAUCUUGGUCGCCUCUAUACGCACCCGCGGCUCAGCAGGAGAAACGUCAAACCACAUUCCCGCAAGAGACACGAGCCCAGCGCUGCGACACCGGCCGCUCGUGAUCGCGACCGUGGCCGAGGUCCGCAACCGCAUGUCACCCGCGACCUCCGCACCGGUGCCCCCCCGUCGUCGUCUCCAUGCCGGCUGUGGCAGGGUUCUCGUGGCCCUCCGCUGCAGCCCGUCGUCGUGGCCCCGGCGCGCGCUGUCUCGGACUCACGCGACAUUGCACCACGACGAUCCCACGCACAACUGCGGUCUCUGUGCUGCUCCCCACCCACACCCACCCCUCCCCUCCCUCCCGCCUCUGCACACUCCUUGCUGCAUGAUACCUCCGCUCAGCCGCUGCCCCCAUCCACACCUCUCCCCACUACCACCACCUCCUCUCCCCACAACCCCCCCACCCCCUUGCUCCCGUGCAGCGCGAGAGCCGUGCCGCAACUUGCAUGGUGCCCUGUGGCUGCGUGGCCGGCCACCCCGUAGAGAAUCCAGUCCGGGUUUUUGUUUGGCUACGGUCCUGCAUCGUCUCCGAGCCGUCUCUGGACGGUGUCCGAAGAAUGGGCGGCACGGAGAUGUCUCGGUGUGUCGGUGCCUCGUGCGGCUGGCGGAGCCCAACCAAGCUCGGCCCGGCGUGCACAUUAAUCCAUAACAAACGCCUAUUUAUAUUUAAGCUCGAAACAAGUUACCGUUCUGUAUAGUCUGACGGAGGGUAGUCUCUGGAAGGAAAACAAUUUUUGCGUGAUUUGUAGGACUUUAAAAAUACUGGAAAAUAUUUGUGUUGAAAUAUUAUUGUACAAUACCAUAACUGUGGAUAGGUGUACACAAGUUUAUUGCGAAUGCGUGUGUGUUUAGUUCCCAGUCGUAUCCGAGUGGCGCCUUCGUCACUUUAAUCAAGACUCACGUGUUGCGUCUGUUAACGUCUAAUGCGUUUUAAUUGUACCUUCUGAAGCAGCGUAAUUUUACGGUUGUGGCUUUACCCGGGGGCGGCACACGACCCGGGUAGAGGAUGGAACUGAGUGAAGCCGAGAUCGCCGACGCAGAGAAGUGAACACGACGUCAGCAAGGCACCCGGUGAAGCAACGGGGGUGAGGCUAGGGUCAGGACUAGGGUUGGUGUCUGGUCGGCUAAUUUGAUUCGGGUUCAAGUCAGGCUCAUUGUGAGGCCUUGUACGAGUGCCUGGUUGGAUAGUUGGUGAGGGUUAUCGCGAGAGUUGGCGUGAAUUGAAGGCCGGGUGCUAGUGUUUGGUUGGUUAGGAGAAGGGGUAAUGCUCGUGUUGUGUCUGGGAAUUGGUUAGGGGUAGAGUUAAGGUGAGCCAGAGGUUGAAUACUAUUGCCUGGUUGGCUAGAUGGCUAGGUUCAGAGGUAGGGCUAGUACUAGUGUCUGGUUGGUUAAGGCGAGCAUGUCUUUAAUUAGCUGGUGAGCCUCACCCCCAAGCUGUUGGCCCAUCCUUCCCAUCGUUCAUUUCGAUUCGAUAAGUUCUGUGGCUGGAUUCCAUUGGCGGCGGCCCGCCAUUGCGUCCGAAUCAUCGACGGUGCCCCUCUCUCGUUCGCUCGCCGUAGACGGAACCCCCCUUACUCCGCACUCCUUGCGUUCCCGCAAGCGCUUCUCUGUACUACGAGUUCCGGCGGUGGUUGGGGGGGGGGACCCGACUCACUCGCACCAACCACGUGGUAAACCUCGCCAUCCCCUGGCUCUGAGCGACGACCCCCCCUCCUCCCCAACUCAAACAACGACCCGUCCGCUACCCCCUUCUCACCGCGCUCACCACUCGUAACGUAAUGGCAUAUACAUAUAUAUACUGUAUAUUACGUGAAUGUAGAGAGACUUAAGUUAUAAUGUGAAAGCUCUAAUGUUGGGGGGGUGGGAGGGGGUGUUGCAAUGAGAGAGUCUGUGCGGGCUGGCGGGACCGCGGUGCGAUGGGGCUGGGAAAGAGGCGAACACCUUUGGACGACGAUGAGGAUUUUGUAAAAAAUGUAUGGUUCGGCACUGCCUGCAAAAUAAAUUAAGAAUAAACGUUU